GAAUCGACGGGAGCUUGCUCCCUGAGAUUAGCGGCGGACGGGUGAGUAACACGUGGGCAACCUGCCUAUAAGACUGGGAUAACUUCGGGAAACCGGAGCUAAUACCGGAUACGUUCUUUUCUCGCAUGAGAGAAGAUGGAAAGACGGUUUACGCUGUCACUUAUAGAUGGGCCCGCGGCGCAUUAGCUAGUUGGGGAGGUAAUGGCUCACCAAGGCGACGAUGCGUAGCCGACCUGAGAGGGUGAUCGGCCACACUGGGACUGAGACACGGCCCAGACUCCUACGGGAGGCAGCAGUAGGGAAUCUUCCGCAAUGGACGAA
rnacentral:rRNA from 1 species